UGGGGAAUAUUGCACAAUGGGGGAAACCCUGAUGCAGCGACGCCGCGUGAGCGAAGAAGGUUUUCGAAUCGUAAAGCUCUGUCCUAUGAGAAGAUAAUGACGGUAUCAUAGGAGGAAGCCCCGGCUAAAUACGUGCCAGCAGCCGCGGUAAUACGUAUGGGGCGAGCGUUGUCCGGAAUUAUUGGGCGUAAAGCGCGCGCAGGUGGUUUAGAAAGUCUGAUGUAAAAGCCCACGGCUCAACCGUGGAGGGUCAUUGGAAACUAAUAAACUAGAGUGCAGGAGAGAAAAGUGGAAUUCCUAGUGUGGCGGUGAAAUGCGUAGAGAUUAGGCGGAACACCGGUGGCGAAAGCGGCUUUUUGGCCUGCAACUGACACUGGGGCGCGAAAGCGUGGGGAGCAAACAGG
rnacentral:rRNA from 1 species